AUUGAACGCUAGCGGGAUGCCUUACACAUGCAAGUCGAACGGAGUGGCGAACGGGUGAGUAAUGUAUCGGAACGUGCCCAGUAGCGGGGGAUAACUACGCGAAGGCGUAGCUAAUACCACAUACUAUUGGAGCGGCCUAUAGCGUAUUAGCUAGGUGGUGGGGUAGCGGCUCACCAAGGCGACGAUCCAUAGCUGGUUUGAGAGGACGACCAGCCACACUGGGACGGAGACACGGCCCAGACUCCUACGGGAGGCAGCAGUGGGGAAUUUUGGACAAUGGGGGAAACCCUGACCCAGCCAUCCCGCGUGAGCGAUGAAGGCCUUCGGGUCGUAAAGCACUUUUGGCAGGAAAGCGGUACCUGCAGAAUAAGCACCGGCUAACUACGUGCCAGCCGCCGCGGUAAUAC
rnacentral:rRNA from 1 species